CAAGGGCACGUAUCAACUGGUUGAUGAAAUCGCGACCAGAGGCUGUGGGAACCUCACCAUGUAUUUGCCCUAGGUGCAGUGGUUUAGUACUUACUAAUUCAGUGUUUGUGAUGACUUUAUAGGACUUACAGAACAUAAGGCAAGUGCUGAACACAGAGAUCCAAAGCCCUGGCAGAUCCCAGAAACCACAGGGGCUCCACGGAGAUCAGCAGGUAACCUCACAUGGCUGAAAGCUGCUCCAAAUUCUGGCUGCUUUUACAUCUUCCAUCACAAAGAGCUGUAACUUCCAGGGUGCAGAGUAUUGCUACCCACCCUUGGGGGCCCUUUGGUGACUGGAACUGAAAACGAAGGGGCUGCCACCCUCUGGGAUACCUCCCGGGAGUGUCUGUGAUGGGCCAGGAAAGAGGUGCUGAAUGCCAGAGCAGAGCCUGAAUGGGGCUCCGGGCCAGCCUAGCUCUGAAGCAAGCAGCCCUGCCAUCAGAGGACCCACCUUGAGGAUGGAGAGCCUGGGAACAGCUGGGACAGGCCACCACACUCCACAGAAGGCCCAGAGACCCUGUGGUCUCUCUACCGACCUCCGCCCGGCUUGAGAUGCGCACGUUAGGGCAGCACAUUUGAUGUACACACAUGGGGCAUGGACACCUUCUGCUGGGCUCAGUACAGGACAGGAGGGUGACAAGGAGAAGCUGGGACCAGCUCUAUGGUCAAAGCUGGGACCAGCUCUAUGGUCAUCAUCAAACCAUCCAGAAUUAGUUCUUCUAGGAACACAUUUUCUGCGUGGUUUCUUUUUCUUUUAAAGAACUUUACUGGGUCGCCUGGGUGGCUCAGUUGGUUGAGCGUCCAACUCUUGAUUUUGGCUCAGGUCAUCUCAGUGUCAUGAAAUCCAGCCCCAUGCCAGGUUCUGUGCUGGGCAUGAGGUCUGCUUAAGAUUCUCUCUCUCCCUCUCCCUCUGCCCCUCCCCACCCCCAAAGCACAUGCUCUCACUCAAAAAAAAUAAUAAGUAAAGAGCUUUACUAAGGUAUAAUUGACAUACUAUAAACUUCAAAUAUUUAAAGUGUACAACUGGGGCACAUGGGUGGCUCUGCCUUCAGCUCAGGUCGUGAUCCUCGGGCCCUGGGAUCAAGCCUGGCAUCGAGCUCCCUGCUCAGUGGGGAAUCUGCUUCUCCCUCUGACUGUCCCCCUGCUCCUGCUGCCAUGCUCUCUCUCUCAUUCUCUCUCUCUUCCAAAUAAAUAAA